rnacentral:rRNA from 1 species
GUGAAAUUGUUGAAAGGGAAGCGCUUGCAACCAGACCUGCCUGCAGUUGCUCAUCCGGGCUUUUGCCCGGUGCACUCUUCUGCUGUCAGGCCAGCAUCGGUUCGGGCGGUCGGAUAAAGGCUUCGGGAAUGUAGCUCCUCUCGAGGAGUGUUAUAGCCCGUUGCGAAAUGCGGCCAGCCUGAACUGAGGUCCGCGCUUCGGCUAGGAUGCUGGCGUAAUGGUUGUAAGCGGCCCGUCUUGAAACACGGACCAAGGAGUCUAACAUCUGUGCGAGUGUUUGGGUGUCAAACCCGUACGCGUAAUGAAAGUGAACGGAGGCGGGAACCCCUCGGGGUGCACCGUCGACCGAUCCUGAUGUCUUCGGAUGGAUUUGAGUAAGAGCAUAGCUGUUGGGACCCGAAAGAUGGUGAACUAUGCCUGAAUAGGGUGAAGCCAGAGGAAACUCUGGUGGAGGCUCGCAGCGGUUCUGACGUGCAAAUCGAUCGUCAAAUUUGGGCAUAGGGGCGAAAGACUAAUCGAACUAUCUAGUAGCUGGUUCCUGCCGAAGUUUCCCUCAGGAUAGCAGUAACGUUUUCAGUUUUAUGAGGUAAAGCGAAUGAUUAGAGGCCUGGGGGUUGAAACAACCU